AUGAACGCUGGCGGCGUGCCUAAUACAUGCAAGUCGAGCGAACGGACGAGAAGCUUGCUUCUCUGAUGUUAGCGGCGGACGGGUGAGUAACACGUGGAUAACCUACCUAUAAGACUGGGAUAACUUCGGGAAACCGUAGCUAAUACCGGAUAAUAUUUUGAACCGCAUGGUUCAAAAGUGAAAGACGGUCUUGCUGUCACUUAUAGAUGGAUCCGCGCUGCAUUAGCUAGUUGGUAAGGUAACGGCUUACCAAGGCAACGAUGCAUAGCCGACCUGAGAGGGUGAUCGGCCACACUGGAACUGAGACACGGUCCAGACUCCUACGGGAGGCAGCAGUAGGGAAUCUUCCGCAAUGGGCGAAAGCCUGACGGAGCAACUCCGCGUGAGUGAUGAAGGUCUUCGGAUCGUAAAACUCUGUUAUUAGGGAAGAACAUAUGUGUAAGUAACUGUGCACAUCUUGACGGUACCUAAUCAGAAAGCCACGGCUAACUACGUG
rnacentral:rRNA from 1 species